GAUGAACGCUGGCGGCGUGCCUAAUACAUGCAAGUCGAGCGAACAGACGAGGAGCUUACUCCUCUGACGUUAGCGGCGGACGGGUGAGUAACACGUGGAUAACCUACCUAUAAGACUGGGAUAACUUCGGGAAACCGGAGCUAAUACCGGAUAACAUGUUGAACCGCAUGGUUCAACAGUGAAAGACGGUCUUGCUGUCACUUAUAGAUGGAUCCGCGUCGCAUUAGCUAGUUGGUAAGGUAACGGCUUACCAAGGCAACGAUGCGUAGCCGACCCGAGAGGGUGAUCGGCCACACUGGAACUGAGACACGGUCCAGACUCCUACGGGAGGCAGCAGUAGGGAAUCUUCCGCAAUGGGCGAAAGCCUGACGGAGCAACGCCGCGUGAGUGAAGAAGGUCUUCGGAUCGUAAAACUCUGUUAUUAGGGAAGAACAAAUGUGUAAGUAACUAUGCACGUCUUGACGGUACCUAAUCAGAAAGCCACGGCUAACUACGUG
rnacentral:rRNA from 1 species